UACGAAGGGGGCUAGCGUUGCUCGGAAUGACUGGGCGUAAAGGGCGCGUAGGCGGCUUGGCAAGUCAGGCGUGAAAUUCCUGGGCUCAACCUGGGGGCUGCGCUUGAGACUGCUGGGCUUGAGGAUGGAAGAGGCUCGUGGAAUUCCCAGUGUAGAGGUGAAAUUCGUAGAUAUUGGGAAGAACACCGGUGGCGAAGGCGGCGAGCUGGUCCAUUACUGACGCUGAGGUGCGAAAGCGUGGGGAGCAAACAGG
rnacentral:rRNA from 1 species